UCUGGGUGCUAUAGCUGGGUAGACAGGGCUUUGGUUGCCGACGGUAGUUUCGCUGGUCGUUAGCUAGGCUCUCAGCUGUUCCAAGAGUAAGUUUUUUGAGGGUAGGAUUUUUACGUUCUCGUCGUCCCGUCCGUCCUGUCGACACUCGUGGCAGCACUGUUCGUCUAGUAGAAUGUAUUCUCUAGCAUUCGCUGUAUCCUCUUUCUACCUAAAAUUGCCAGUGUAAUACUCCUUGUUGGCAAACGGGCUACUCGCAACCCGACCUAGCUUAGGCAGCUAACACUGACAUAUCAUAACUCACUAAACACCAUAGGCGCGCUUCUAUUUCGCGGUUUUUUUCUUUUGCAGAAAAAGGUGUCUUGCCACAAGGCUGCAGGCCGAAAAACGUUAGAUGCUGUACACAGACACUAAAUCCAGGAUACAAUGUAGUGACGACGCGAGUAUGGAGAUCCACGGUACCACGGUGAAAGGUGCAUCUGACUCAGUCCGAUAGAGGAAUCCCCAGUAGUCGGUGAGAAAGAAGUACACAAUAUUAGACCUGCGUUACAAAACAGCAUGAAACCCACGGAUUAUAAUGACCUAGAGACACAUUCACUGCUUUCUAGUGGUGUCAAGCUCCUUGCACUUACUGACGCACUUUUAAUUAGUGGUUGAGACGGCACUCGUCAGAUAACACAAUGUUCGCGCACUCAGGCACAAAUACUGCGUCCUGUAAUCGGAUGGGGUAGCAAAACCACCGCUGUUUCGUACUGAUGUUCCUCUCUUCUUUAAAAAGAGAACUCGGUAUUUUCAAUACUUUUCUCCGGCGACGAUGAGCUUAGUCAGGCGACUUCUUUCUAGAAAUGAUGCCGAAACCUGCGCGAACCACUGCAUAGUCCCCGUAGUUCGCUUUAACGAGGGGCAGAUUCCGCAAUGGACUUCUUGCACGGUCUACCUUCUAUCUUAGUCCGAAAAGGCAACGAUGGUCUUCAGCAGAUACUCUGCCCUACACGGCCAAUUUUAGAGGUACGACGCUGGUAACGUGGGAUAACACAAUGCAACGACAAUUUGCGAGCCAGGUGCUCCCGUCGAAAGCACAUACCCAAUUCGUGCAGCGAUUCAUAUAAGGUGAUUUCAACAUGUUGGUUAUUAGAGUCUAUACGAAUUAUAUUUCAAUGUGAUAUCCAUGGCCAUACUGCCGACGUCGCUCUCACGUUACCACGGCGUAGCAGUUAUCGGGGAGCAAGGAUUCCGUUAUCGUUUCCCCUGACACAUCCCUCUACUUUUAGAGGCGUAACACCAGCUUAAGCGUAACCUAAUGUAAUAAUUGUAUCUUCUAAUCGAUGACACGCGCAGCGCACACGGCUCAUUAACCCUGUCUGGUAUAUACUUGCGUGGUCGCUUUAGCUUUACUAACUAACCGUCUUUUUUUGUUUCUACCCGCUCUGGUACUAGAUAGUACGGUCGAGCCUCAGUGUUCCCUCUCGACAAUAUCAUUGCUGAUUAUGCUUGUCAUCGCCGUCAUCGACAAUCACGGCUACUACAAGUCUUCGAACUCGGUCGAUACGAAUUCGUGCAUUCGCUAAAUGCGUUCCACAUAGCUCAGGUCACAUGAACCGCGUAUCUUUGGCCGGCAACGAAACUGCGUGCCUGGCACUUAGGAGGCCAGGCACACGUCCUCGAUCCGCAGGCCGGCCACGGUGCCCCGUUGAACGUCACCACCACACCGUCGCUUACUAGCAGCAUUCAGAUAGCAACGGCUUCACGUCACGCCGUCCUCUUGCUGGCGUCGCGUCAGAUUGCCAAGGCCAUGCUCACAGCGCGUUGAGAAUUACCACUAGCCAUCGUCGCUCAGUUGUUCUUGAUGUUUUUUUAACGGAAGGAUCUACUCACUAACACCCGAUGCUUGCUUCCUUUCGAUUCACGCGCAUCUCCUGCUGCUGGGGGCUCGGGUGGUUCGGCUGUUCGGUGAGUGAACACCAGUCAGAGCAUCGUAGGGGGCGCUGAAGUUAUCCGGAGUGGUGGUGCAAGCAGACGAUAUGCAAGAAUACCGAUGAGGAAGCUGCAAGCGCAGAUACCUGAUGCAGCUGUACACAGCGAUACAGCAAGUCUCCGUCGUUGCUCGAAGCCUAGGAGCAAGCAAGCACCGUCGAGCGCCAAGCGCAGAGCAUCGUCGAGUCGAGGGUUGGCCACCCUUGCUAUGGCCAGUGGCAGCAGCAGCGAUCUAGUGCCCUGGACCAAGCCCGCAUUGGGCCCGCCAGGAGGAGCCACCUGCUCCUUGUUGGAUUUGAGAAGAGGCGCGAUUUAGACAGCGUGGUGCCUUGCUGCUUGGUUAUUCUCCAUGCUGAUACAAGCGAGCUAAGCGGGCAUCCGUUCGCACUUAGAGAUGCGACUGACAUAUUGCAGUGAAUAGAUAAAAGAUCUCGCUUGCGCUCUAAAAGAAUGCAACUGUGUCGACACAUCGCAUUAGGACAACCCGAUAACUUAGGACCGAACUGACUUGUCGAUCUGUGGCGGUGUCUGUGGCAGACGUGGUGGAUCUGAGAAGAAGUUAACACCCGAAGCUUGGUGAUAAAACAACCUUCAGAAGCCGGCCAAGUCGACGCAUUAAUAAGGAAUUAGGCACGCCUUCGUAAGUACAAAGCCGCUUUAUUAAAUCUACUCAAAAUUCAUCCAUCCGUCGAAAUGGAUCGUUAGCAAGCAAUAGGUUGACAUGGCACUAAUUCUCUGGACGAGAUCACAGAACUUGGGAAUUGAAACUUCCCAUAGCAGAGGACGACAAAUAUUUUAGCACACAGGGCCUCUUUGACACUAUCAUCAACACCAAAGUCGACAACGAUCUCGAGUAUCUUUUUGUGCUGGGCCCCCACCCAC
rnacentral:lncRNA from 1 species